AUUCCAGCUCCAAUAGCGUAUAUUUAAGUUGUUGCAGUUAAAAAGCUCGUAGUUGGAUUUUGGGUCGGGGGUACCGGUCCGGUGUUUCACUGUGCACUGGUCUCCCCUUCCUUUCUGCCGGGGACGGCGUUUGCUCUUUACUGAGCGGCGUCGGAGUCGGCGUUGUUACUUUGAAAAAAUUAGAGUGUUCAAAGCAAGCCAUCGCUCUGAAUACAUUAGCAUGGAAUAACAUGAUAGGACUCUGGUCUUAUUUUGUUGGUUUCCGAGACUGGAGUAAUGAUUAAGAGGGACAGUCGGGGGCAUCCGUAUUUCAUUGUCAGAGGUGAAAUUCUUGGAUUUAUGAAAGACGAACUUCUGCGAAAGCAUUUGCCAAGGAUGUUUUCAUCA
rnacentral:rRNA from 1 species